rnacentral:lncRNA from 1 species
AUGAACACAUUUGUUCUUUUCCUGAGUGUUUUACAGGGUAUUGUCCCUUCCAUGUUUUUGCUACAUUCUGUAGCGCCUGUUCCCUCUGUUUUCUCCCCUUCUCCUCCAUUACCUGCCUCUUUCUUUCCUAUGUGGUUUUCUCAUUCCUGCCUCCAUACCUUCACACUCUCCCCUCAUCCUCUAUCACUCCAUUUUUCUCUCACCUUCCCCUUUCCCACUCUCUCUGUACUCAUCUCAUCUUCAUCUCAUGCACAUUCUCCUGCCUUCCCUGAAAUAUCUCACACCAUCUCUCCUGUACCUACCAUCCAAAUGUCAGACACACACACACACACACACACACAAAAUCUAUUACUAGCGCCAUCCCUAAAACCCUCUCCCAUUGUCUCCUCCCCACAAAAAUUCACACACGCUAUCCUAACUCUACCUCUAACUUCUCUUGCUGCAUCCCCUAUCUCUGUCCAUCCCAUCCAAAGUCUGAAGGGGUUUGAGGCAAGGCGGGGGGGACCAGGUUUCCCUCUUAUGGAUUGCAUCAUGAUAUUUACAUGUUUGUGCUGAGCGGGGUCUUACUUUAAGUCUGGGUUUAAGAAUUAAUAGAAUUGUAGCCAGCUACCUAUAGAUCCCAAGCACACAUCUGUGUGUUUCCUGGGAUCAUCCAAAGUGACAAAGGAAAUGUAUUGUUAAGCAUGGCUUUAAACUUAACUUACUGGAAACACAUUUAAAAUGGCAAUAGAUGAGCUGGUUCAAAGGCCUGGGUCGCCAGACCUUAUGCUUUUUGUAGCCAUUUGCCCAAUGAAGACAUAACAUUGAUAUUAGAAUUUGAAGAAUCGGGCCCACAGAGAUGGCAAAGGCCAUCAUUAUGCCUCCCCCAAGCGAGAACCAGAUUCCAUCCUCCUAGAGCAGACAUCCUCUAUUCUGAGUAUUAAACUGAUAUUACAUGUUGUGUGAAAUCCCAGCCGCACUUAAAUCAAUGGUAAAACUCCCAUUGACUUUGAUGGUGCCCGGAUUUCAUGUUUGAUCUUUACCCAACAGCUGAGAAUAAAUUAUCCUGCUUUUAGUAAAAUAUCCGAAUA